CGCCGCCGCGGGAAUACAGAGGGUGCAAGCGUUAAUCGGAAUUACUGGGCGUAAAGCGCGCGUAGGUGGUUUGUUAAGUUGGAUGUGAAAGCCCCGGGCUCAACCUGGGAACUGCAUCCAAAACUGGCAAGCUAGAGUACGGUAGAGGGUGGUGGAAUUUCCUGUGUAGCGGUGAAAUGCGUAGAUAUAGGAAGGAACACCAGUGGCGAAGGCGACCACCUGGACUGAUACUGACACUGAGGUGCGAAAGCGUGGGGAGCAAACAGGAUUAGAUACCCCUGUAGUCCCUGUCUCUUAUACA
rnacentral:rRNA from 1 species